GAGAGCCGCAUACAUCGAGAGGUGUAAGUACGGUUCGGAGGGGAGCGUUUGGAAAACUGCCGUAGCGAUACGGUAAGUCGCCGGGCGCUUACCCUA
rnacentral:ncRNA from 1 species